UACGAAGGGGGCUAGCGUUGCUCGGAAUCACUGGGCGUAAAGCGCACGUAGGCGGACUGUUAAGUCAGGGGUGAAAUCCUGGAGCUCAACUCCAGAACUGCCUUUGAUACUGAUGGUCUCGAGUCCGGAAGAGGUGAGUGGAAUUCCGAGUGUAGAGGUGAAAUUCGUAGAUAUUCGGAGGAACACCAGUGGCGAAGGCGGCUCACUGGUCCGGUACUGACGCUGAGGUGCGAAAGCGUGGGGAGCAAACAGG
rnacentral:rRNA from 1 species